rnacentral:rRNA from 1 species
GAUGAACGCUGGCGGCGUGCUUAACACAUGCAAGUCGAACGGAAAGGCCCAAGCUUGCUUGGGUACUCGAGUGGCGAACGGGUGAGUAACACGUGGGUGAUCUGCCCUGCACUUCGGGAUAAGCCUGGGAAACUGGGUCUAAUACCGGAUAGGACGAUGGUUUGGAUGCCAUUGUGGAAAGUUUUUUCGGUGUGGGGUGAGCUCGCGGCCUAUCAGCUUGUUGGUGGGGUAAUGGCCUACCAAGGCGUCGACGGGUAGCCGGCCUGAGAGGGUGUACGGCCACAUUGGGACUGAGAUACGGCCCAGACUCCUACGGGAGGCAGCAGUGGGGAAUAUUGCACAAUGGGCGCAAGCCUGAUGCAGCGACGCCGCGUGGGGGAUGACGGCCUUCGGGUUGUAAACUCCUUUCGCUAGGGACGAAGCGUUUUUGUGACGGUACCUGGAGAAGAAGCACCGGCUAACUACGUG